UACGUAGGGUGCGAGCGUUGUCCGGAAUUACUGGGCGUAAAGAGCUCGUAGGUGGUUUGUCGCGUUGUUCGUGAAAACUUACAGCUUAACUGUGGGCGUGCGGGCGAUACGGGCAGACUGGAGUACUGCAGGGGAGACUGGAAUUCCUGGUGUAGCGGUGGAAUGCGCAGAUAUCAGGAGGAACACCGGUGACGAAGGCGGGUCUCUGGGCAGUAACUGACGCUGAGGAGCGAAAGCGUGGGGAGCGAACAGG
rnacentral:rRNA from 1 species